rnacentral:rRNA from 1 species
GAUGAACGCUGGCGGCGUGCCUAAUACAUGCAAGUCGAACGCAUAGCGAAAGGUGCUUGCACCUUUCAAGUGAGUGGCGAACGGGUGAGUAACACGUGGACAACCUGCCUCAAGGCUGGGGAUAACAUUUGGAAGCAGAUGCUAAUACCGAAUAAAACUUAGUGUCGCAUGACACAAAGUUAAAAGGCGCUUCGGCGUCACCUAGAGAUGGAUCCGCGGUGCAUUAGUUAGUUGGUGGGGUAAAGGCCUACCAAGACAAUGAUGCAUAGCCGAGUUGAGAGACUGAUCGGCCACAUUGGGACUGAGACACGGCCCAAACUCCUACGGGAGGCUGCAGUAGGGAAUCUUCCACAAUGGGCGAAAGCCUGAUGGAGCAACGCCGCGUGUGUGAUGAAGGCUUUCGGGUCGUAAAGCACUGUUGUAUGGGAAGAACAGCUAGAAUAGGAAAUGAUUUUAGUUUGACGGUACCAUACCAGAAAGGGACGGCUAAAUACGUG